rfam:Zootermopsis nevadensis contig2246, whole genome shotgun sequence.
GCCACGGUGGUCUGGCGGUUAGAACGCUGGCCUUGUAAUCCUGGGGUCUCGGGUUCGAUUCCCGGCGGUGCCC